CUGACUGGGGGAGCUCAUCAAGGAUAGAAAGAUGCGGAUUGGACGGACGAGAUAGACGAAUAAUUAUUAACUCUGAUAUAACCUGGCCUAAUGGGAUGACAAUAGAUCAUAUUGGUAGAAGAUUAUAUUGGAUAGAUGGUUCCUUAAAUCAAAUUAAAAGUACAAGGUUUGAUGGAACAGAUACAUAUACCGUAAUUAAAAACGAAAAUGUUUUACCAAAGCCGUUUGAUUUGGUGGUGUAUGGCAGUUAUGUUUAUUGGUCUAAUUGGGAAUAUAGAAGUGUAUGCAGAGUAAAUAAAAACACCGGGCAGGAUUUUUCAAUUCUUGCAAAUUAUCUUCGAUCACCGAUGGGAAUACAAGUAUUUGCAGUUGAAGUACAACCUAAAGGACAAAACGUUUGUGAAACAAGUAAUGGAGGUUGUAGCCAUAUUUGUUUUCCAUUACCUACAUACAGUAGUGAUCAAAGUACAUUAUCUGGUUGCAUAUGCCCCGAUUUUUAUGCAAUGACAUCUGAUAAUAAGACAUGCGUCUCUAUUGAACCUCCGAAAGAUAUAGUUAUAGACGUACGUUCUACGAGUGUCAUAGUCUCAUGGAAUUUUCCAGUGACUUUAGAUUAUAUAGUACGAACAGAACUCAAACUGUAUGAUAACGAAGAUUCUAUAGUUUAUACAAGAAGUUCAUACUAUCCAGUGGCUGAACAUACGAUUACAGCAAUUCAGCUUCAGAAAUGUCAUCGAUAUAAAAUAAAACUGCGAUGUCAAUACAGUAUACAUGGAUGGUCCCCUAACGUAGAACAUACAUUUUGGG